GGGGGAGUGAUGACAAGAAAAAAUUUUGUGUAUAUUCCAGACAGAUGCAAAAUAUAUAUAUAUAUAUAUUUUUUUUUUCCAAUGUGCUGUUGGUUGAAUUUGCAGAUAAAGGAACUAUGGAUACAGAGAGCCAACUGUAUGUCAGGUAGAGGACCCUCGGAUAUAUGGAAGCUCAGAAAGGCAGAGAAACAGUGCAUUAAUCCAGCUGAGAGAGACCAUCCCGGAGUAGGCAUGCCAGGCUCGACACAAGGGACACAGACCUUCUUCCCCGAAGGCCAAGCCUCCUCUUCAGGGCAGGUUUUCCUGACAAAGACUCACCUCGAAGCCCUGAUGAGCAGCGCAGUGAUGUCAGAGCAAAUACCUCACUUAACAAGGUGCCUACUCUGACUGCCUAAGCUGAACUCAUUAGCAGACCCUGAUCUAGGUCCUAGGGACUGGUGAAUCUUGUGGGCCAGUGCAGAGAGUUCUUGCUGUAAAGUGAAUGUUUUUAUCCUGGACAUGAGGACACCUGGCCUGGUACUGACAUCAGGGCCAAUGUAGAAGUGUAUGCAGAUGUGAAAAGGUCUACAGGACACCAGCUGCUGUGGAAAGACUGUGUCUCCUGAAAUUUACAUUGAAAAUCCUAACCACCAAGGUGACAGUAUUAGCAGUAGGACCUUCCGGGAAGUGAUCAGAUUAUGAACAAAAACAGGCCCUCGCCAGACACCAAAUCUGCCAGUGUCUUGAACUUGUGCUUCCCCUUCCGUAAUUAUGAGAAAUAAAUUUCUGUUGAUUAUAUGCUACCUAGUCUAUGGUAUUUUGUUACUUCAGCUCAAACUACUGAGACAGCAGCCCCCAAACUCCUCAGGUCAAGAAACCUGACAUUCUACUCCUUGAUGUUCAAUCCUUUGAGCUUUUAACUUUUUUGCUAUCCAUGUCGCUAUUAAGAUGCAAAUGCAGUGUGUAGAGGGAGAACAUAACUCCAAUGUUAUCAGCCAAUUUCUUAGCAGAAAUUCACUUCCCACUAGUUCCAGCCAGUUUAGCAUCAGGGCCCUAUGGGAAGAUCUAGGAAAAGCUUUUAGGAGAUGGAAAUGGGCAGAGGCCUUGUGAAUUAUGAGCAGGAAGCUAGCAGGAGGCCUGGAAGAGCCAGGACAAAUCUCCGUAUAACAAUGGGAUUCCAGUAAAGGCAACAGAAACCCAAGGUCAACCUAACUUUCUGCAAAUCCUUUUCUGCUCACUUACUUCUUCCCAGGGAAAGCCAUCUGGGAUGCAGCCAAAGCAGCCUAAAGAAGGUCAGAGGACCAGAACAGUGGCCAGUGAUAUUCAUGGUCCUGACCACGGACUUUCAGUGUAAGAAAGCCAAGGUCGUGGGCUUCUCUCCAAACCAGUUUGCUAAACUCACCGGAAGUUCUGUCCUACAGCUCUGAACCACUCUCCAGACGUCAGCCGGCCAUCUAAAAAAUUCAUAACCCUGUUCCCAAGGGCUUGCAUGGCUCCUUGCAAACUCACUCUGAUUGUCACCAAUCCCAAAUAAGAACUGUUUAUGUGGGAGCAGAAUGCUUCAAACAAGGAAGUGUGCUUUGGAGGUCUCCUCUGUUUCUGUCUCCCUCUGUUUUGGGAAUUGGACCCAGGGCCUUGCACAUGGUAGGCAAACAAACUGAAAUACUGAACUAUAUACACCUCCAGCUCUUUUUAUCUUUUUUAGACAGGGUCUUGCAAAGUUGCCCAGGAUAGCCUUGAACUUGUGAGCUAUCUGGCUCAGCCUCCUAGAUAGCUGAGAUUACAGGCAUGCACCACUAUGCUCAGCUGAAAUUUUAUUUCUUAGUUUGGAUGGGUAGAAAUCACUUCUGUUAUGGUUUGGAUCUUAAAUUUUCCCCAAAGAACAAUUAAUAGAUUUUUGGGAACUGACCAAAUCAUGAGGGUGACCUCAUCAAUGAGUUAAUAUUAAUCCUACAUUAAAUUCAUAGCUGAAUGAAUUAUUAGGAAGUAGGUGUAGUUAAAGGCGUCAGACACUGGGGUGAGACUUUGGGGACUAUAUUUGGAUCCUGGUCCCUUCCUCUUUGGCUCAUUUGUUCUCUCUGAUUCCUAGCAGCCAUGAGGUGAACAACUUCCUCUUUCUUGACCCCUGAGGAGAAAGAAAGUCAGAUUCUGAUGUCAUCUGUGGGAUAAAAGCCUGUGGACACAUGACUGCCGAUGGAUGUGCCAAGAGCCCACAGAAGUUUCAGAGGGACAUACACACUGUUCCCCAUCCCCCAACAGAGGGUGUUACAUCUUGUGGAAGAUGUUUUGUGAAAUCAGGCAUGUGUUGGGGCCAGGAGUUUAGCUCAGUGGUGCCACCACCUGCCUCACAAGCACAAGGACCCGAGUUCGAUCCCUGGUACCAAAAAAAAAACAAACAAAUCAGGCAUGUGUUCCUAUGAGCACAGCGAAGCUAAGACCAGUAACAAGGAGCUCCACCCAAAGCCUGGAUCAGAAACAGAAAUUCCUCUGUUUGAAUACCUCAGGCCCUUGCAGCCUCUGCCUCGCUAAAUGGGGCCCGCUCCCGUCCCUUUCUCCCUGUAUACUCUGUACUACUCCAGGAUUCCAGAACACAAGGGAAGAGAAACAGUGAAGACAGCAGCGGGUGGCAGAAAGGAGGAAGGAUCAAGGCAAGAGGAAACCAAACACACCAGGAAAAAGUAGAAAAGGCAAAGUAUAAGGAAACUUUUUUUGUCUCUCUGUUUUUUUCACUUAGCCAAAAAUAAACAACAGACUCAGACAGAGCCAGUAAAGGGAAGGAACAAAGAUAGGCACAGAGCUGCAAAUACAUGCUAAUUACUUCACCCUUCCUCCUAUGCCUGGCUGCCACUAGGGCCCAAGGGCCAUGUAUACCAAGGCCUAAUAAUGAUUUCAUCUCACAGACUUCCUUCCACUUUUUUCUGGUAACAUUACAAAGUUCAUCACAAUUCUAUUCUGUUUUGGGAAAUCGAAACCAGAUCCAUCUUUGGGAAAAUUAAAUGCCAAAAGAGCUCAGAUAAUAUAAUCGAGAAGUAGAGAAUAGUUGGUGUGACCACGACAAAUAUCAAAUCACAAAUAUUUGAAAUUCUUCCCUUCAGUGCCCUGCAGAGAGAAGUGUCUUUGUUUGCUGAACUGGCUCCCAGGACUACUUGGCUCUUGUCCUAGUGUAGGAUGUCAGAUGGGGAGGAGAAGCCAGAGGAAGGCAAACUAUUAGUCAAGUGCCUACUAUGUAGCUGGCCUUCUAUAGAUGUUGGAAAUUCAAGUGUGAACACACUAGGCCCCUGCCUUCAUGAGACUAAUAUUCUCAUUUUUACUUUAAAAAUGUGGUAAAGUGCACCAUAAAAUUUAGUAUGUUAACCAUUUAUUUCUAAGUGUACAAUUCAUCCAUGUUAAGAAUGUUCAUGUUGUUGUGCAACCAAUCUCCAGAAAUUUUCCUUCUUGCAAAAUUGAAACUCUAUAUCCAUUUUUUUAAGAAAAAAAAGCCCAUUCCCCCUCUCCCUCCCCAGUACCUGGCCACCAUCGCUCUACUUAGUGUUUCUAUGAACCUAACUGCUUUAGGUAACUCACCUAAGUGGAAUCAUGCAGCAUUUGCCUCUUUGUGACUGACUUGUAGCACUUAGCAGAAUGCCUCAAAGUCAUGCAUGUUGCAGCAGGUGUCAGAAUUUCCUUCUUUUUCAAAGCUGACUAACAUCAUACUUGAUCUCUACUGUCUCUUGCUUAUCCAUUCAUCUGGCAGUGGAUAUACUGGUUGCUUCCACCUCUUGGGUAUUGUGAAUAAUGCUGCUGUGAACACAGGAGUUCAAAGUCUUUGCAAACUAACACACUUUUAAGAAGCUCUUCACUUCAUAUUGGUAUUUUAUAUUUGCCCAUAAAUGCCUCAACUGGACUUUUAGUUUCACAAGGACCUGUGUUAUUAUUUUUCUACUCCUAAUUUCUGUAUGGUGCUGGCACACAGUAGGAACUCAAUAAAUAUUCGCUGAACAAAAUAUUUUUACACUUCUUAGCCACCACUGUUGCAGCUGGCUGCUUUACAUAUUUUAAUAAAUAAGUUUUGCAAUUUUAAUGAAUGCUAUUUUGAUUAUGUUUACAUACUAAGCUAGUUUCUAUAAGGAGAUUAGUAUUAAAAAAU
rnacentral:lncRNA from 1 species